AGAGUUUGAUCAUGGCUCAGAACGAACGCUGGCGGCGCGCCUAAUACAUGCAAGUCGAGCGAGAAGGUGUAGCAAUACACUUGUAAAGCGGCGAACGGGUGAGGAAUACAUGGGUAAUCUACCAUCGAGUGGGGAAUAACCAGCCGAAAGGUUGGCUAAUACCGCGUACGCCUCCGGAUUUUCGGAUUCGGAGGGAAAGCCGUACUGUGAGUACGGCGCUCUUUGAUGAGCUCAUGUCCUAUCAGCUUGUUGGUAGGGUAACGGCCUACCAAGGCUUUGACGGGUAGCUGGUCUGAGAGGACGAUCAGCCACACUGGCACUGCGACACGGGCCAGACUCCUACGGGAGGCAGCAGUAAGGAAUAUUGCGCAAUGGGCGAAAGCCUGACGCAGCGACGCCGCGUGGGGGAUGAAGGUCUUCGGAUUGUAAACUCCUGUUGCCAGGGACGAAUGGCUCCGACCUAACACGUCGGAGAAUGACGGUACCUGGUGAGGAAGCCCCGGCUAACUCUGUGCCAGCCGCCGCGGUAAUAC
rnacentral:rRNA from 1 species